UUUUUUUUUUUUACUGGAUAAUAAAAUCAGAAUAUGAACAAAUAAAUAAAUAAAUAAUUGCAAAUCUCACCUAAUUGUACAGACAACUUGAGAAAUAUACAUAAUCCGCUGCCCCUUCAUGCAUGGCUCAAACGUGUUGCAGUAGAUUUAACCCAAAAAAACAAAAAGAAUAAAAGAAUAUACUGCCCAUCAGUCCAUGGAGUUAUCAUCUUCUUGAUAUAUUGACGCAUCCCUCUCACAUUGCUUCAAAAACAAAAUCUGUUAAGAAAUUUAAGGAAGAUAAAACCCACAUUGUAUUUCAGCAUCAGAACUCUUUUUUCUUGAAGGAAAAUGCAAGAGUUCAUGUGAAUUAUCUUAAAAAAAAAAAAAAAAAAUCAAAGAAAAAUACCAUGAUGAGAAUUAUGGUUUACCCAGAUCUCCUUGCAGUGAAUUGUGUCAUGGAGAGACAGGGAGAUCUUGUCUGAACAACAAAAUCCUGAAUUGCCAUGUUGUCCCACAGCUUUCUUGAGCUUCCAUAUUUUGUGUUAAUCGAAGAGAUUAAGAAGCAAAAGAAAGUUCAAGAAAGCUGUGGAAAAGCAUGACCAGGACUUUCCACAAAUCUCACCCACAUAUUAUCCUCAGAUCUCAUUUCUGUUUCUCCUUGAAAUCCCUUGUGUCUUUCUUGUAAAGAAGAUAUACUAACAUGUGUGUUUGUCUGUGUGUGUCUCUCUCUCUGUGUUUUGUGUGUGAGAGAGAGAGAGAAAGAGAAAGGAGGUUAGAAAUGACCAUUGCCCAUACAGAGCCCUUCAUGGACCACUCUACCAUAUAAUCUGUCUACCAGCUUUAUAGAGAGGGGAUGAGGAGAGUGAGUAGGGUUUACUUCACUCAUAAAGUUUAACUUACCAACAAAUGCCUUACUUUUCUUGUGAGUGCGCAGUGGGGUACAAACACUAUACGUCACACGCGCGGGCAACCAAAAAAAAAAAAAGCAUUCAAAAUUAAUUAUUAAAUAAUUAAUAUUUAAAAAAAAUUAAAAAUUAAUUUUUAUUGUCACGUACAUCAUUUCAAUUGUAAAACAGUUAGAGAGAUUAUGAAAAGUUAAGAGUAAAAAGGAAAAAGAGAGAAAAUGCAUUUUUCAAAACCAUCCCAUCCUCAUGAUCACAUGCGACCAUGUGUGCAAGAUCAUCUCCUCAUAUUUUAUUGGAAUUUAUGGUAUGGGUUGUUUAUGGUCCCCCAAUCGUUAUGUUUUCUUUCUUACAUUAUAAGCCAUAUAAUAUAUAUGUGAUCAUCAAUCAUGUUGUUGUAAUUGUGCACCUUGUAGAUAUUUUAUGCACUUUAGAUCAUUCUGGAACCAUUGUAACAAUAUAUAUCCUUAUGGCUUUAGGCCGUCACUUGCCAGUUUGGAGACUGUGUAGCACGUAUAUAUAUAUAUAUAUAUAUAUAUCAUCUUGUAGCUAGCUAAGAGAGCUAAGAGAGAAAGUAGAUAUUAAUCUUUUCCUACUUAAAUUCUGUUUAUUUUGGCGUAAAAUUUUUUUUGUCAGAAAAUUUUUUAAGGGAAUUAUUUUUCAAGAAAAUUUUUUUUGUAUAAAACUUUUUUCAGGGUGUAGCGCUAAUGAAAAAUCGCAAUUUUUUUUUUAAUAUUUUCAUUUAAUCAUAUUAACCUAUAAAAAUUAAUUUUUUUAUUUACAACAUAAAAAUAUUAAUAUAAUUUUUAUUUAAAAAAGGUAACCUAAAAAUUUGAAUUCCAGCCGGGUCACUAAGGUGUCCUGGCGGGCGGCGGGGUCCCAAACAUAUAAAAAUUAAUUUUUAUUCACAACAUAAAAAUAUUAAUAUAAGUUUUUAUUUUAAAAAUAAUAAUAAUAAUAAUAAUAAUAAUCUAAAAAUUUGAGUUCCAGUGGGGUCACGACAGGAUCCAACGGGUUUCACAAUGUCCCAAUGGAAUCCUGGCAAGGUCCAGUGGUGUCAGACCGGGUUUGGUGAUGGUCCAGCAAAGCUUUGGCGGAGUUUUGACAAUGAUAUAGGAAUUUGAGAAUGAGAAGUUCAAACUCGAAAAAUUAUUUACAGUUUUAAAAAGGAGAAAUCAUUUUAUUGAGAUUAAAAAA
rnacentral:precursor_RNA from 1 species